GAAUAUUCAAAUUUAUAAUCAAGGGGGAUGUUCUCACUCUUCAUCAAUUACUACUACCACCAACUUUCGAUUCACUCGCUUCCCUCUCGAACGUUCUACACCUUUCAUACUCGCUCUCUGCCAACCUCUGCUCACAGAGUCACAGCUUAAAUGGGCAGAUCAAGCAGAACAAUUUAUGUCGGCAAUCUUCUUGGUGAUGUUCGCCAGAGUGAAGUUGAAGAUAUCUUUUACAAGUAUGGCCGUAUUGUUGAUAUAGAUUUGAAAAUGCCUCCAAGGCCUCCUGGUUAUGCUUUUGUUGAGUUUGAAAAUUCUCGCGACGCUGAUGACGCCAUACAUGGUCGUGAUGGUUAUGAUUUUGAUGGAUGUCGUUUACGGGUUGAACUAGCUCAUGGAGGGAGAGGAUCAUCAUCAUAUGACCGUCACAGUAGUCACAACAGUGGAAGUAGUCGUGGUGGAGCUUCAAAACAUUCUGACUACCGGGUGCUGGUUACUGGACUUCCUUCUUCUGCUUCUUGGCAAGACUUGAAGGAUCACAUGCGUCGAGCUGGUGAUGUUUGUUUUUCUCAAGUUUACCGUGAGCGUGACGGCAUGCGUGGAGUUGUCGACUAUAACAACUACGAUGACAUGAAAUAUGCGAUAAGGAAGCUUGAUGAUUCUCUCUUCCGUAACCAAUUUUCAAAGGCAUAUAUAAGGGUGGAGGAGUAUGACAGGAGACGUAGUUACUCCAGGAGUCCUUCUAAGAGUCCUUACUCAAGAAGCAGAAGUAUCUCUCGCAGCCCUGGUGAUCGGGCUAGGAGUAGAAGUGCUUCUCCAAGGAAGAAAAGUUCUCAUCAAUCUCUUUCUAGAUCCCGUUCAAGGUCUGUUGCAUCCAAGUCAGAAUCUGGCUCCCCUCGCUCUUUAUCAAGGGACUUGAUGGCUUAUGGUGCUCAGUUUCUUGCGACUCAUUUCUUUCUGGCAAUAAGCUGUAAGUUGAUGAGCACGAUGAGCACCCACUGCAAGACCCAGAUGUUCAUGAAAAUUGCAGAUCCAGAUCCCCUAGGAAAUCUAGACCUGCAGUGUCACCGCCACCCCAUCAAUCCAGGCAUGGACGUGCCCGUAUGAGCAGGAGCAGGAGCCGAAGCCGAAGCAGGAGCAGAUCGAGAUCUAGAUCGGUGCAUUCUGAUUGAAGUGAAUUUGCGGAUGAAAGAUUGAAAUGAAAGAUUGUGUCUAGUUCACAUACAAAGACAGUUUUAGCUAAAAGAUUGAAAUGAAAGAGUGUCUAGUUCACAAACAAAGACUUCAAAAGUUUUAGCUACAUUCAGGAGGAUUUGGGUGAGUCAUCUGUCAGAUUAAUGGAUCGUCUAAUAUUUUUGCUAAUGAUUGUAUACAUUUUCUUCA